AGAAGUCACGAGUGUUCGGAUGACGACAACACCCACUGCAAUCAGUGUCUCAUCCAAACUGCCAUAAUGAUUGGAAAAAAAAUUGCGAUGCGAUCUGGUAAUUUUAUUCCUUAAAUUUAGCUCACGAUUAAAUAUCUUGUAAACACAAAACGAUUUUUUUGAUCUGACAAUGUGCGUGUGACGAAGUAGAUAGUCAAUGUUAAAAAUCAAGUUUUUAUACGACA